UCCCUUCCCUUUUGCCUCUUCAAUCUUCUUUUCUCUAUUGCUUUUCCAAUCCUUUCCCGCUUAUAUCCACCAUAGCCACCACCUCUAUCCUUCUUCCUUCAGCCAAGACAAAUCGAUCUCUCCGCCUUUUCAAUCCUCACUUCUAUAUUGCCUAUUCAAUAUUAUCUCUUCUCACUUGCAUCCACCAUAGCCACCACAUCUUCCCUAUGGUCAUUGGAUCUCAGGUUUGAGACCGCCAACAUGAUUAGCCUCUGUCAGCUCGAGUUUGGAGUAAGGAGUUGGUAAAUAGCCAAAGGAGUCGCCGCUAGGGAAGUGAGGGAUGCGGUGGUUGGGUAAUUGCUUAGGCUGGGCAUUUGACUUUUUCUGUUUGGAUUAGUUUUGAGAAAUUGCAUACCAAACAAAGUUUUGAAUUAAAAUUUUUUAAAUCAAAACAUGUGUUUUUAGAAAAAAUUAAAAUUUUGAGUUUCGUUCUCAAGUUUGAUACCAAACAGGCCCUAAUCCUUUUUGUCUCUAUUGAUAUUGCAGGUGUCCGGCUUGUAGAAGUUACAAGGUAUGCUACAAUCCCAGUUAGUGCUUUUAGUUGUUAACUUAUUGUUUAAACUUCAACUUUCCACCCACAUUAUGAAAAGUUGCUAAGACUUUUUAGUGUUACUAAUGCUAUGCAUCCAUUGACAACCAGGGUGGAUUGUGCAUCAAAGGUUUGUGUGUGUGUGUGUGUGUGUGUGUGUAUCUUUGUGUGUCUAUUUACUUACCUUUUUUGAACUUUAUACUUCUCAAGUGAUAUGGUAAUUUAAUUUCUUAAACUUACAGUUUGUCGCUGUAAAAGAGAGCCUGUUUUCUUAGCAUUAUAAUCUUUUCUUUGGUUUUAAUAACUGAAAUGGACAUGCAAGAGAUUGAAGAAUUUUGUUUAUCGUAGUGGGAUGAGAGGGUAUUUUCAGAACAAUUGUUUUGCAUGAUAGUAUUAAAUAAUCAAUUUGAUAAAUUAAACGGUGUGAUUAAAUAAGAUUAUCUGUUGGGUGUACCUAUAUAUGCUUAAUAAAUUGUUUAAUGAGUUUUCAAUUUCAUGUUAUUAUUUCCUUUGAUGAUUUUCUUUCGCUUUUGUAUGUGUAAAAUUGUUAUGCUUUGUGUAUUUGAGAUUGCUUUUCUUUUUUAAUUUAAAUUUUAUUUAUGUGUAUGCUCCAGAAAAAUUCUAGUUCCCUAAUCAUUUGAUUUAAUUUUGUUUCCACUUUUAAAAGUUUUUCCUAUAAUUCUGUAAUAAAAGGAUUAUUUUGUUGGAAAAAGCAAGGCUAGUUUGUUUUUAGGGCUUGAUGAUAUCUACGUUCACCAAGUUUAUCUUCGACUUUAGUCUUCUCAACAAAAAAAAAAAAAAAAUCUUCGACUUCAGGUAUUUUGUUCCAUUGAUGACAUAAAAUCAACUGCAACUACAUAUUUUGGUUAUGAUUGGGGGAAAUAGGCUGAUUAUCUACAUAUUUCAUGAGAAUAUCAAUAGGGACUAUCUACCAAAUCUUUUAUGUGUAAAUAGUAUGUACAUACACAUCAAAUAUUAUUUUUUGUAUGCAAAUAAUACUAUAUACAAAAAAUUUCGUAUGAUGAAGGACAAUUAGGAGUUCAAUUUGUAAAAGAUGUGUAUUGCUAGAACAAUGGCAAUAAACCCACCAAUCCAUAUGGUUGUAAAUAUAUUUCUACGUGUAUGUAAAUUGUAUGGCAUAUUGGAUGUAUUGAGAACUUUACACAUGUUUUAUACAGUUUUAAAACCCGCAGCAUUGCGUGGGCACCAUUGCUAGUUUUUUUUUCUUUCUAAAUAAUAAAACUAGGCAUGAGAAAGACUACAUGAGCUCCUACAUAAAGGUUCAAAUGGUCCAAUAAGAUCACAAUAAUCCAAUAAUAUGAUCCAACUCAUUAGCGAAAGGAAGAGCAGAUUUCGUAGCAACAAUUUCUUUUCUCCAGAAACAAUACCAAACUACCAAGAGCAACACAUGUGUGGAUAACUUUGAGUCUCUUUUCACUAUAACAUUUAUGUCUGCAAGAUUGCAAGGCACUUAGUUGUAUACAAAGAAUGUUGUAUUCAAUUAUAACACAGGGAGAAAAUGUUUAAGCCCUUUGCUCUCUUGUAUUGCUCUUUUUUUUUCUUUCUUUUGUGUGUUUCUUUAAGUAGGCUUUCAGCCCAAAUAUUAUUUUAGUUAUAUUAUUAUCUUGCUAAACUGACGACCAUAUUUUGUUUGAGCACUAUGUUACAGUUGAAUGAUUGCCAUAAAGAUAACUUGACAACAACAAGGUUACAAUUCUCAGUACCUAUUAGUUCAGCCAUUCUGGCCUUAUAUGAACCAUAUCGAGUUUCAUGUGCAAGGUUUUAUGUCUAGUUCUUAACUUGUUAUAAUGGUCAUUUGACUAUUAAACCGAGCCUCAAUUUAAAUUUGGUAUCAGAUCCCUAGUUUAGUAUUUUAAUAGUAUAAUUAUAAUAGUAAAGUACAUUGAUGACAUAAGUUAUCAAAACAAGUAACAUCACACACCUGCUUAUUUUGCAUGAAUAUGUUUUAUACUUUUCCUUGUAAUCCAUUUUACAAACCAUUAGUAGAAGUUUAUUGUCCUAGACACCCUACUAUUACUAGCAUAAGAGAUAUUUAGCACAAAGAAACAAAAAUUUAUUAGUAAGGUAAAAUAAACUAAAGUCUACUAGUAAGGUAAAAGAAACUCUCCAUAAGUUAUUAGAAGCAAGUAUUCAUACUUUAGAAACUUUAGGAGGAGAAAGAGAGUAUUUACAAAACCAAUUAGCAAUAUGUUUGGGAAAGAUUUCCCUCGCACAGCUCUCCGAGGAGGUGGCACUUUGUUGGUUGUCAGCUUGGUGUGUUGCAAGAUAAGUUUAUAGUUAGUUUGAAAUGUGUCUUUGUGGGGCCUUUGGUAUAGGCCUUAAGGCUUGCAAUCAAAACUAACAAGGAUUUGAGCGUGCCACUGUUAUCCUUACAUAACAAAUUGUCGAAUAUGUGUUUGUUAAGUUGAUUACUUGCACCCUAAGUUACUCAAACUUCUUGUUUAUAAGGAUUGUCACAGAUGGGUUAAGUCUGUAUUAAGUUCUUUUCUUGCUUUUUAAACAAGGACUUUUAGUUCAUAAUCUUGUAUGUCCAAAAUAAAGGAAGUUCAAGCCCUUUUCAACCAUUUCCUCGAUCACAGUUCACUUUUAAUGAAACCAGGUUUAUUAACUUAACCAGAUUCGAAUGCAAAUAGGACUCUUAAGUAGAAAACAAUUGAACAUAACUUGAAGACAUGAUGGAAAGUGCAUUAAAUAGGUUUUACAUGAGGGAAUUGAUACAACAAUACUAAGGAAAGGUAGCAUAGCUUUUACAUUAGACAAAAAAUGGUUUUUUCUAAAGGAACUAUAGCUAAUAGGAUCGAGUCUGGACAUGUUUCAGCUUUCUGGGUAUGAACUGGCUUGAGAGCAAAGUUUGUAUGUCUUUUGAUUGUUGGUUGAGUGUCCUUGUGUGAAACCCCGUCCCAAAUUUUGUAUACUGUCAUUUUAACGAAAUUAUGAAAUAACAUUUAUGCCUCUUACCCUUACCCUAUCCGGAUCCCCUUUUCAUUUUUUAGAUUUUCUUGUCAUUAUUUUAUAAUU
rnacentral:lncRNA from 1 species